AUUUUGCACCGAAAAAACAGUUUUUGUACUUUGUAGUGAGUUUCGUAGUUUGUAAUUUUUGUGAUUUUAUCCAGGAAAUAUAGGAGCUGUGGUGAUGGAAUUCUCCAACACAAAAGAAAAAGACAUAGAAGCAGUACGGUAAUCAAAUACUGGCUGAAGUCUCCAGAAACUCGGUUUACCAGCAAAGAGAAAUCUAAAAAUGUUCAAACACCGGAUCCUGGAGGAAAAUGUGAAUGCUUCAAAAAUUAGAUUGAAUUGAGGUGCAGUAACAUAAACCAGUAUGUAGCUCAAAAAAUUGCUACUUCAAACAGGAAGAGAUUAAAGUAUUCUGGAGCACCACAAUAAGGACCUUUCUUCAUAGAUAAAUGACAUGCAUAUGAGUUAUUUUAAUAAACAAACUUCUCACAUUA